GCGAGGAUGGCGGAAUUGGCAGACGCGCUGGACUUAGGCUCCAGUGGGCAACUGUGGGGGUUCGAGUCCCCCUCCUCGCA
rnacentral:tRNA from 1 species